rnacentral:rRNA from 1 species
GAUGAACGCUGGCGGCGUGCUUAACACAUGCAAGUCGAACGGAAAGGCUCCUGCUUGCUGGGGUACUCGAGUGGCGAACGGGUGAGUAACAAGUGGGUGAUCUGCCCUGCACUUCGGGAUAAGCCUGGGAAACUGGGUCUAAUACCGGAUAGGACGAUGGUUUGGAUGCCAUUGUGGAAAGUUUUUCGGUGUGGGAUGAGCUCGCGGCCUAUCAGCUUGUUGGUGGGGUAAUGGCCUACCAAGGCGUCGACGGGUAGCCGGCCUGUGAGGGUGGACGGCCACAGUGGGACUGAGAUACGGCCCAGACUCCUACGGGAGGCAGCAGUGGGGAAUAUUGCACAAUGGGCGCAAGCCUGAUGCAGCGACGCCGCGUGGGGGAUGACGGCCUUCGGGUUGUAAACUGCUUUCGCUAGGGACGAAGCGCAAGUGACGGUACCUGGAGAAGAAGCACCGGCUAACUACGUG